CGCACGUUUGCCUCACAAUCGCACCCACGUUUACCGCUUUCUUCGCCCCAACCACCAUAGGCUACCCAUUAUAAAUCCUCUACCACCAUCACCAAUGACUUCGCUUUCUCCUCUGCAUUUUUUCACCCUAUAAACAGAUUCAAUCCAUUGAACGAAUCACCCCACUACGUUGUGUUUGGAGUAUUUACGACAGGUAAACCGCCAAUUCAACUGCCCACUCUCCCCUAAUUUUAGGGUUUGAAGAGGUUAAAUAUAGAAUGAUGAGCGCAAGAAGGAAAUCUGAAGUGGAGUUCUCCUUGACGACGGUUCCCCCAUGCUCCUGAAAUUCAGUGAUUCUACCUCUUCAGCCACUCAAAUUCACCAACUUUCCACCUGGGUUCUCUCAAACCCACUUCAAUCUGUGAGCAAAUUCACUCGAUUGAUGGUGUAUCACCAUGGCUGUUGAUAAUUCAUCUUCUUCGCCUAGCUUCCGUGAGCUUGAUGAUGUGUUUUUGCAGUCUCAAGCAAGAAUAUGGCUUGGAGAAGUGUUGCGCACAAGAUUUGAUGAGCAAAUAAGCAUAGGUGACCUACUUUCUGAUGGGGAGAUGCUGUCCAGAAGGAAGAUCAAUGGAACUUGAUCGUCGCUGGCUCCUCCACAUGUGGGUUUCCACAAAUGCAUCAGGGUUGGGCUUUGCCACUCGAUCUAUCGUUUUUGGUGGCUUUUUGUUAGCCCUAUUCGAAGUCUGAUUCUUCUUAUGUGCAACCAGGCUCGAAGUCUGAUUCUUCUUCAUCGUCGUCUUUGUUUGAUCCAUAUCAAAAACCGAGAGCUGGAAGUGAUUGUUAUCCAGGCAGAGUCACUUAGAACUGUCAAAGCUGGAAAUGGAUGUGAAAAUGAAGGAAAAAUUCAUUUCGAGUACCGAUUUGUGUUGGUAUUUGUAUAAACUUGUGUUAAUUUUGAGAAGUUUGGUGGACCAGAACGAACACAAUUUCAUCAGGCCUACAUCACACAUGGCUAACUACACAAUGUUAAGAUUUGGCAGCACCAAACCUAAGCUUUGCAAUAGGCAACAAGAAAUAAAAGACGACAACAAGAUGAUCCAAGAAGAGGGUAUGGAGUCCAUUUCCGAACGUCAAGUGGCAGGAUCGUGGCUUACUUGGAGUGCGCAAAAUUGAUGAAGUUAGGCAACAUGUAUUGCUCUUUGUUUGGAUUUCAAGUUGCAUAGCUUUUAGUGUGGCUGAUAAGCUUAAGCUGGAGGAAUUGUUCAAGCUACACUAUCUUCAUUGGAGAAAGUGAUUGAUAAACUUUGUCAUAUGAAGAUCCGGUUGCAGAAAAGAAGCAAAAGUUAGAGUUUGAACUGAGUCUGACUUAUGCCUUAAAGAUGGUGGAAGGGGAAGAAGAUAAGCUGUAUCAAGUAGUCAAAUUUCCAAUUUUCGAUUCUAAUAGUGGCUACCCUAAAUUGUAUUAAGGCAUUGGCUUGAAAGGCGAAAGAUAUGUUUUAUAGAGUUUACUGUUUGAACUCUAUAAAACUGUUUUUAGGUAGUCCUCUCUAUGUUUAAUGUGAUGUUGGUGAUAUAUGCUUUUCAAAUGUCAGCAUACCUUUUUCAAACCGCUGCCUGAUGCUCUUCGAAUCCUAAACCGCCGGCACUUAGAAUAUGGGUGGGGGGUUGAGAAGUGAUUUUAAUUUGAACUAUGUUGAUUUUGGCUAUCUAGAAGAGAGUAAUGAAUUGUUGGUCUGUAAAUUAUUGUUUGCUUUCACUUACAUGGCUAAACAUUGAUGCAUCAAAUCAACUUGAUCAGUAGGAAGCCAAAAGCCUGUUGUUAAAGCCCCUCUUUAGUUUUUAUUAGUUUGGGCUAUAAAGCUCCUCUUUAUGCUUUUAAAAAAUUUUGAAUAAAUUUAUUCUACAGUGGUUGAGUAAUGCUAUAACAACCAAUUUUUGUAGACAUUCUAUUGACUUGGAACACCUUUUAUGCCAAUUUGUGUAUUUCUUUUUACAAAUACAUACCUUUUAAUUAUAUGAUAGCUUUAAAUGUAAGAAUAUUAGUUAAAGAAGUUUUAUAUAUAUUUUGUUUUGUUACAGGGUCAUUGGCCGUUCCCACGAGAUAAGCUUAUGCAAGGAUAUGCAUACAUCUUAACCCAUCCCGGAACGCCUGUGAUAUUUUACGACCAUUUUUAUGAUUUUGGGCUCCGUGAUGUUAUAACGGGAUUAAUCGAGGCAAGGAAACGGGCUGGGAUCCCUCCCAUACAGCCUAUUAUUUUAUCAUGCUCUAUCACACAUAUUAUAAGUACUGGCAGGUUCCUUGUGGUGAAUUGCUAAUGAAAUUGACACGACAAUGAAAGGAGAAGAUUGUUACUAUCCUGUACUUUGGUUUCACAGGUUACAAGGAGCAAUGUACUCCGAGACUCUUGCUUCACCAAAUAUUUAGUUCCAUUAAGUAUGCUCUUUUGUUUUGUUCAUUUUAAUGUUUGGUUAUUUGUUUAGUGACAUUAUAAAUACGUUUAUCCUUUUCUUUAUUAUAUUCUAUGGGUAUUUAUGUUAUUAUGCCGUUAAGGUACCCGGCCUACGGACGGGUUCUCAGCUAGUU